GACGAACGCUGGCGGCGUGCUUAACACAUGCAAGUCGAACGGAAAGGCCCUGCUUUUGUGGGGUGCUCGAGUGGCGAACGGGUGAGUAACACGUGAGUAACCUGCCCUUGACUUUGGGAUAACUUCAGGAAACUGGGGCUAAUACCGGAUAGGAGCUCCUGCUGCAUGGUGGGGGUUGGAAAGUUUCGGCGGUUGGGGAUGGACUCGCGGCUUAUCAGCUUGUUGGUGGGGUAGUGGCUUACCAAGGCUGUGACGGGUAGCCGGCCUGAGAGGGUGACCGGCCACAUUGGUACUGAGAUACGGCCCAGACGCCUACGGGAGGCAGCAGUGGGGAAUAUUGCACAAUGGGCGGAAGCCUGAUGCAGCAACGCCGCGUGCGGGAUGACGGCCUUCGGGUUGUAAACCGCUUUCGCCUGUGACGAAGCGUGAGUGACGGUAAUGGGUAAAGAAGCACCGGCUAACUACGUG
rnacentral:rRNA from 1 species